GUUCUGACAAACUGCUCAGUAAGCCUCAGUGAAGCUAUGUGGAACCGACAAGAGGGGAAUCAUCAGUUUUUUACAGGUUUUAUCUUUUCCUUAAUUUUGACCUCAUCUUCAUUUGCUGUAGAUCAGCUCAGGUUGGCAGGUCCUGGAUCGACUCAGUGCUCUGGAAGAGUUGAAGUCCACCACAAGAAUACCUGGGGAACGGUCUGUGAUGACGGCUGGGGCAAAGAUGACGCUGAAGUGGUUUGUCGAGAGCUGGGCUGUGGUCCGGCCCUCAGCGCACCAUCUUCUGCUCAUUUUGGUCAAGGAACUGGUCAAAUCUGGCUUGAUGAUGUGAACUGUUUAGGCAAUGAA